GCAACCUGCCGUAUAUCAUUGGCAAAAACACUAAAAACUUCCUUAACCUCUGAAACCUCAUUGCAAGCCAAGUCAUUUGUCCCUAGAUGGACAAGUACAUCCAAUUCCCUUCCUGCUUUGCUUGCUUAACAAUAUUACAGAUACGUCUCCUGUCUCUGUGAGCAGUAGCUCCGGGAAAACACCUCACAAGACCACCAUUGUCCAUCUCCA
rnacentral:lncRNA from 1 species